AAUGCCGGAUGCUCCAGUUGAUCGCAUGGUCUUCUGGGAAAGCUUUCGCGGUAUGGGAUGGGGUCGCGUCCUAUCAGCUUGACGGCGGGGUAACGGCCCACCGUGGCUUCGACGGGUAGCCGGCCUGAGAGGGCGACCGGCCACAUUGGGACUGAGAUACGGCCCAGACUCCUACGGGAGGCAGCAGUGGGGAAUAUUGCACAAUGGGCGCAAGCCUGAUGCAGCGACGCCGCGUGAGGGAUGGAGGCCUUCGGGUUGUAAACCUCUUUUAUCGGGGAGCAAGCGAGAGUGAGUUUACCCGUUGAAUAAGCACCGGCUAACUACGUGCCAGCAGCCGCGGUAAUACGUAGGGUGCAAGCGUUAUCCGGAAUUAUUGGGCGUAAAGGGCUCGUAGGCGGUUCGUCGCGUCCGGUGUGAAAGUCCAUCGCUUAACGGUGGAUCCGCGCCGGGUACGGGCGGGCUUGAGUGCGGUAGGGGAGACUGGAAUUCCCGGUGUAACGGUGGAAUGUGUAGAUAU
rnacentral:rRNA from 2 species